GGCUAGCUCACGAGUGGCCCGAGGGGUGUAUGCCUCCGAGUGUGAGGCGGGGUGUUGGCCUCGCGGGACCACUAACCGAAGCAUAAUGCAGAGAAAAAAGGGGGUAAUACCUAUUGGGCCCUAGAACCCUAAUUGCCGGUACACUAUUACUAUUCCAGGGAAGGUAAGAGAUGGAUAACUACGUGAGCAGGUGUACGUACCUGGUAGUAUGGUAUUGAACCUGACAAUCCGUAUAGGUUUUUUAGUAAUAACUGUAACCUGAAUGGAUAAAAUCGUAUGGCAUAAGGAAAUAUGGCAUAGACCAAGCUUAUCUUAAAACAUACAGUAUAUGUGAACGUAAAGUGCUGUGAUAUGUAAAUAUUAAAC